rnacentral:rRNA from 1 species
UAUAUGGUCAAGCGAGUAAGCGCACACGGUGGAUGCCUAGGCAGUUGGAGGCGAUGAAAGACGUAGGAGCCUGCGAUAAGCUCCGGUGAGGUGGCAAACAACCUUUGACCCGGAGAUCUCUGAAUGGGGAAACCCACCCGUUUUAAGACGGGUAUCAUGCACUGAAUCCAUAGGUGUAUGAGGCGAACCCGGGGAA